UGGUGUCUGCAUCCUCGACCAGAGUCCACAGCUUAGUCAGGAAAGCCGGGACGUUCGAGUUGUGUUUCAUCUCACACAUUCAACGACGGAUACACUUUGACUGAAAAGGCGCAGCGUUAGCUCUGUUUUGUAGCAGCAGGUAACACCUCACCUAGCCGUGAGAGACACCAGCUGAUUCCCCCUAACAUUUAUCAAGAGGUCCGUGCCCAAAAAAAAACAAAAAACCAAAACCAAAAACUGUGGUGGCCUGACUACCUACAAGAACUUGUGUUUAUGUAUAACAACACAGUUCCACAGGACAAGCCCCCUCAUACCUCCUGUUUGAGUGGCACCCUCGCCUUCCCAUGGAUGUGACACUUGGCACACAAAAGUGAAACAGCAGAACUUCAAACCGACUGGGUCAAACUACACCACAAGAGACUUAAACUGGCCUACCAGCAGGCAGCUGAAUGACUGGAGAACACCUGUCAACAACAGAAAAAAAGCCAUGACAGACAUCCAGUGAGUACGUCACGGCUUCCUGGAGAAAGGGUCCUUAUGUGGCAACGAGGGGCAAAGAGUUGAGGUCAGCAAACCUCUGGGUCUGACAGAUGGGUUGCAGAUCCAAUUUAAGGUGGAAACCACAUCAGGGAACCACUUCCACAACCUAUCCAGCCCACCGAGGGAGAUGCAUCACAAGCCCCUUCAGAAGUAGAGCGGUUUGGACAGGAAGACAGGAGCUAAACACACAUGGUCAGAAACGAGGGAUAAGAAGGAUGAGCACACCCUACACCAAUCUCAAAUGACCACUCAAGGCCAACAACCAGCUAGGCAUCAAAAUUGUGUAUUGUAAUUAGUUACCAUGAGGACAUGGCUAUGAAAAA